UAUCAGAUGCGAUCAGUUGUAAUCGAAAUAUUGCAUAUAGCGAUUUAGCUUUGGCAUAAUUGUUUCUUGGUAGACGUAUUAUGAGUUUGCAUUGCUAACAGCAGGUAUUAUUUUCGAACGAAGGCAUAGUAGAAUAGUCUAAAAUGACGGGAAUAAAUGAUGAAAAACUGAAACAACAUAUGGAGGAUGAGAUGACUAGGUUUGAAGCAGAAAUUGCUUUGCCUGUUCUUCCUCCUCCACCUCCGCCUCCAGCGAUUGCACCGCGGCCUGUCAUUGGAUCCAACACCUAUACUCAAGUUCAGCGACGACUAGAGGAACAGCAGACGUUACCUUCUGCAAUUCCGGGGCCUGAGUUUCCAGCCUGCCCUCCCAUGGGAUUUCCAUCAUUGAUGCCUCCAUCUGUACCAGCUUUUCCAGGAAUUCCGCCACCACCGCCGCCACCACCACCACCUCCACCACCUCCACCAUUGCUUAUACCACAUCAGGUUCAACGUGGACCACCAGUCAGGCACCCAAUGCGUGGGGUCGGCAUGGGUCCUCCUGGACCAAUGAUGGGAGGCCCUUCUCCCCCAGGGUUCAUGGGCCCCCCUAACAUGGCUCAUCCUCCAGCUCCUCCUUUCAUGGGUCCUCCAGUCCCUGGCCCUGGGCCGCAGGUGAUGCCUAUGGAACAACGUCUGCCAACUCCAAUGCCUCCAGCUCAACCUCAUGUACCUGCAAUUGUAAGUGCUACACCAAAGCUGUAUCUUGCAAAGCCAUCUGGAGCCAAGUCAGAAACAGACUUAGGAGAUGAUCAGCGGAAAGGGAACAGGAAGAGUAAGAGUGGUAAUGAAAAGAGUGCAGUGCCUGCUCUAGAAAUGUCACGUGCUCGGGGUAUGGCUGAGAAGGUGAAAGUGAGCACAGUAACGGUGUCUGUUGGUCCUGGAUCACUGCAGUCAGGAGCAGCAGAAGAAACCACUCCUGCAGCAGGACGUAAGAAGGAGAAGAAGAACAAGAAGAUUGUUCGUAUGGCUGGUGGGCAGAUCUGGGAAGAUAAUUCACUUCUAGAGUGGGAGGAUGAUGAUUUCCGAAUUUUUUGUGGUGAUUUGGGUAAUGAUGUGACAGAUGAAAUUCUAACAAGAGCUUUUAGCAAAUAUCAAUCUUUCCUGAAGGCAAAAGUGGUACGAGACAAACGAUCCAAUAAAACCAAAGGGUUUGGUUUCGUGAGCUUUAAGGAUCCACAAGACUUUAUCAAAGCUAUGAAGGAGAUGAAUGCUGCAGUUCAUGAUACCUCUUUGGAUGGUGUUGAAGGCGACUGUGGAGGUGCCUCUCAGCUGAGCUGUACUGUCGACCUGUGGACUGACUGUCAGAGGGCUAUAGGGCACGUCCUUCCCUCUCAAUUCUACCGUUAUGGCCCUAUGAUUAUUAUGCCGCUGAAGGCCGCACUUAACGUGAAGGUACGUGGGCAGUCGACCCAUCAAACUGAGGAAGAGCUCGUGGAAACAAAGGAACAUGGAGUCGGUGCGAAAGAAAGAUAAAGAGAAAGCAGCUCUCAUUGGCUUGCUGACUGGCCGGUGACAGACGUAAGGCCGUGGUUGUUGGAGGCGUCUGUGACGGCGGGGUUGCAAAACGUCCAGCGUCUUCGGUCCGACAAGUGAGGAACGCGUUACAUCAGUUCGUCACAAACUAUACGAUUCAAUUUUGGCGUUAUUUUCCUUUAUUUGUGAUAUAAUUUUUGGGAACGUAGUAAUCACAAGCUUGUCAGCUUUGUACAAAUGAAUUGUGCUCAUUUUUUGAAUGCAUAAUAAUAUAUAAAUAAAGGAUUGUUAUUUUUAAUCGU